rnacentral:rRNA from 1 species
AUUGAACGCUGGCGGCAGGCCUAACACAUGCAAGUCGAGCGGAUGAAGGGAGCUUGCUCCUGGAUUCAGCGGCGGACGGGUGAGUAAUGCCUAGGAAUCUGCCUGGUAGUGGGGGAUAACGUCCGGAAACGGGCGCUAAUACCGCAUACGUCCUGAGGGAGAAAGUGGGGGAUCUUCGGACCUUACGCUAUCAGAUGAGCCUAGGUCGGAUUAGCUAGUUGGUGGGGUAAAGGCCUACCAAGGCGACGAUCCGUAAUUGGUCUGAGGGGAUGAUCAGGCACACUGGAACUGAGACACGGUCCACACUCCUACGGGAGGCAGCAGUGGGGAAUAUUGGACGAUGGGCGAAAGCCUAAUCCAGCCAUGCCGCGUGUGUGAAGAAGGUCUUCGGAUUGGAAAGCACUUUAAGUUGGGAGGAAGGGCAGUAAGUUAAUACCUUGCUGUUUUGACGUUACCAACAGAAUAAGCACCGGCUAACUUCGUG